UUCAACUAGUUUUCUUUGGGCUGUUUUAUUGAACUUGCAAUAAAUACUAAUGGAUAUUGAAACCAGUCUCAUUUCAAGCUCAUGUUGACCCUUGUUCAUACAGCAGCUGCUCUCCACUUUUAUCUCACUUUUGAUAAGCUCAUGUGUGUGGCCCGAGACACACAUGUACUUGUAAUGUGUUGCCUCUUCAUCUAUUCUUUUCCAAUCCUCCUCUCAUCUACAACAUGCUACUGUACACACCCUCUUGCCUCUUCAUCUAUUCUCUUCCAAUCCUCCUCUCAUCUACAACAUGCUACUGUACACACCCUUUUGCCUCUUCAUCUAUUCUUUUCCAAUCCUCCUCUCAUCUACAACAUGCUACUGUACACACCCUCUUGCCUCUUCAUCUAUUCUUUUCCAAUCCUCCUCUCAUCUACAACAUGCUACUGUACACACCCUCUUGCCUCUUCAUCUAUUCUUUUCCAAUCCUCCUCUCAUCUACAACAUGCUACUGUACACAUCCUCUUGCCUCUUCAUCUAUUCUUUUCCAAUCCUCCUCUCAUCUACAACAUGCUACUGUACACACCCUCUUGCCUCUUCAUCUAUUCUUUUCCAAUCCUCCUCUCAUCUACAACAUGCUACUGUACACACCCUCUUGCCUCUUCAUCUAUUCUUUUCCAAUCCUCCUCUCAUCUACAACAUGCUACUGUACACACCCUCUUGCCUCUUCAUCUAUUCUUUUCCAAUCCUCCUCUCAUCUACAACAUGCUACUGUACACACCCUCUUGCCUCUUCAUCUAUUCUUUUCCAAUCCUCCUCUCAUCUACAACAUGCUACUGUACACAUCCUCUUGUUCUCCUUAUUCCAAAGACCUUUAUUUCUAUAGGGAAGCUAUUUCGUGUUCUUUAUGUUUUAGAAGAUGGCAUAUAUAUUCAUUAACAAAUAUUUAUCAGUACAAAUAAGAAUAGUUACUUAGUUGUAUGUAUGUAUACAUGUAUGGUUGAUGUUGUUGUAUGGAUAAGAAGUCUGGAUUGUUGGUAUAUACAUGAAAAGGCAGAGAAAAAUGCAUGGAUUUUUUUUUUUUUUUUUUUGUGUGUGUGUGUGUGUGUGUGUGUGUGUGUGUGUGUGUGUGUGUGUGUGUGUGUGUGUGUGUGUGUGUGUGUGUGUGUGUGUGUGUGUGUGUGUGUGUGUGUGUGUGUGUGUACUUUACCUAGUUGUGAUAUACCGUAAGCCAAGGAAUAUGAGUUACCAUGACCCAACUGGUUAACUUUUACUUUGAAAUCAUGAAUACUCCUUUGUAAUUUCAAAGUCUGGGUCAUUCACACAUCAAUACACCAUCAGGGAAAACCACACUACUUCAUGUAUAUCAGUAAUAUUAUCAUUCACUCAUCUACUGGUUGCCUAGGCUACCUGAUGGAAACAAGACACAACUGACUGGUGUGUAAUUACAACUCUCUCUCUCUCUCUCUCUCUCUCUCUCUCUCUCUCUCUCUCUCUCUCUCUCAACACAUCCCAGCCUGUUCCAUUCACUGACAAAUUUCCCAGGGAGGACAUUUCUAACAGUAAAACAUUUUUAUUAUAAUUUCCCCUACAAAAGUACGACCUUAAACAAUGCAGUAAAAAUAAUAAAUAAAGAAAUAAAGAAAUAAAGAAAUAAAGAAAGAAGUAAACAAAGAAGUAAAUAAAUAAAGAAAGGACAGAAUGAGUGAAAAAGAUGCAACAGAAACCUUUUUGCUCCUUAUUACAUUAGUUAGUAUGACCACUGCAGGCCUUUAAAACAACCUGUGUCAGUGCAUGGCAAAGGUCAUCAGGUUUUCUGCAGCAUCUAGACCAGAGCAAUUCUUUACAUCUGGAUAUGUCUGGUGGCUUAAAAAAGACAAGGAAGUGAAGGCAUGUCCUUUCUUUUUAAGUCUGAAUUUUAUGAGAGAUUAUUAUUAUUAUUUUUUUUUUUUUUAAGGUCUGAUUUGCUGCAUUUGAAUUAACCAAUCUUCCAGCAUUCUUUCAUCAGGCUGUGUUUUCUGUACUUCUGGCUGUGUAAUACAAUCAGUGCUGGUGAGAGGCAAGACCUUUAUCAAGAGGAAACCAAAAGAAACAACAAGAAAGAAAUGAGGUCACAGGUACUCCCAAGCCACUCAGUUCACCUGCCUGUCUGCCAACUGUGUCAUGACCUCUGCUCUGUGGCACGAUGCACUGUCUUGCAUAAUAAGGCCGCACUCACACACAUUCACUGAACUGCCUUACUAAACCUCAGUGUAGCAAGCUCCAUUCACUGUCACAUUUUUAGGAGCCACACACACACACACACACACACACACACACACACACACCAAUCUUUCCACUGAGGCAGCUCCACAUCACAAGGGUGGGUGUGUGGCAGUCAACACUAUUCUAAAACACUUGGCUCUCCCAUCAGAGGCACUUUUCUAAGGCUAUGGAGGUGAUUCAUUCCAUUUUCUUGAGUAUUUUUUCUUUCAGAUUGAUGAGGUAGAACACUUGUAAAACUAUAACCACAUUCAUGAGCACAGCCUUGAAAUCCCCAAUAACUUCCACCACUGAUUGUUAUUAGUAAUCAAGAUAAGAUACCAAACUGUUAGGAAAUACAGUCUGUGGCACACAUAUGCCAGGAAUCAAGAGGGUUCAGGUGUUUGGGGCAUCCUUGUACUGCCUCACCAAACUGACAAGCAGCAUGCAUUGUCCCUCACAUCAAAGAAGUUUCCUCUCCUAUGGGUCUUUUGCACUUGGUCUGUGUCGUCUUGCCGUCAUACUAUCACAUGGCUCUGGGAACAAGUUGGAAGGAGUGGGAGUGGUCAACAUUUUCAAGAUGUGAUGCAGCUCAGCAUCCUGUGACACCUGGCAAUGGAUGGCUUGCGAUGGAAAAAAUUAAGUGAACAAAAUAAAGUUCUUUCAAGCAGAAAAUUAUUAGAUUUAUUCAAAACACACAAAAAAAAGUACCAGAAAAAUCUUUUCAGCACUAUGUGAAACAGGUGUCACUUACUGAGUAAACACCACUCCUUUACCUGUGAGCAAACCCUGCUGGGUAAUUAAGUUCUUGAUUCAAAAUUUUAUAUUUCUAAUAGAUUUUGCUGUGUUUUUAAUAAUUCUGAUGUUUGCUUUUCAUUGGAAAUUGAGUUUCUCUUUACUCAAGGUCAGAUGAGUAAUGAAAAAACUAGUGAUUUCCCAGAAAAACAAACAUCAGGUU